rnacentral:lncRNA from 1 species
CCCUAGCUUUUAACCAUGUGCAUAUUUGGUUGCAUGUUAUUUCUGCUGCACUUUUAUUUUGUAAUUACAUAUCUUUAAAUACAAAAUAAAAAAGAAUGCACUUCCGGGUAGGAGCGGAAGUACGCUUCUUCAUUCAGAGCUCUGGCGUUUGUGCGCUUUUUUUUGAGGCGCUACAGCCGCUUUUCUCCCGUUUGUACUCUUCUUUAUUCCGCGGAGCAUCAACUCCGGACUUGUUUUGUGAAUAUAUUCUUUUUUUUUACAGCUUCAUCGCCAUUAGUUUUAAAAAAUGUCCCGAAGGCGACACAGCGACGAGAAUGAGGGAGGUCAGCCCCAUAAAAGGAGGAGAACAUCGGAGCCCAUAGAGAUUGAAGACCGCCUGGAGUCCCUCAUAUGUCGGGUUGGGGAGAAGAGCACGUCCUCCUUGGAAAGCAACCUGGAGGGCCUGGCUGGAGUGUUGGAGGCAGACCUUCCCAACUACAAAAACAAGAUCCUGCGGAUUCUGUGUUCUGUGGCCCGGCUGCUUCCCGAGAAGCUGACGGUCUACACCACGCUGGUCGGACUCCUCAAUGCACGCAACUACAACUUCGGCGGAGAGUUUGUGGAAGCCAUGAUCCGGCAACUUAAAGAGACUCUUAAGAACAACCUGUACAUCGAGGCCGUUUACCUGGUGCGUUUCCUGUCUGAUCUGGUCAACUGCCACGUGAUCGCCGCCCCCUCCAUGAUCGAAGAGGAUGUGCCACAGGUGCGCUCGGACUGGUUUGUGUACGUGGUGCUGUCCUGUCUCCCCUGGGUGGGCAAAGAACUGUACGAGAAGAAGGACGUGGAGAUGGACCGGCUCCUCAGUCAGAUUGAAGGUUACCUCAAGAGGCGAGUGAAGACACACUUGCCCAUGCUACAGGUGUGGUCAGCGGAGAAGCCCCACCCACAGGAGGAGUACCUGGACUGCCUGUGGGCUCAGAUCCAGAAGCUGAAAAAGGAUCGGUGGCAGGAGCGGCACAUCCUCCGUCCCUACAUCGCCUUCGACAGCGUCCUGUGUGAGGCGCUGCAGCACAACCUGCCCCCAUUCACCCCCCCGGGACACAUGCCCGACGCACACUACCCCAUGCCCCGGGUCAUCUUCCGCAUGUUCGACUACACAGACGCCCCGGAGGGCCCAGUGAUGCCUGGGAGCCAUUCAGUGGAGAGGUUCGUCAUAGAAGAGAAUCUCAACUGUAUCAUCAAGACCCACUGGAAAGAGCGCAAGACAUGUGCAGCCCAGUUACUCAGUUAUCCAGGCAAAAGCAAGAUCCCCCUCAACUAUCACAUUGUGGAGGUGAUAUUUGGCCAACUGUUCCAGCUGCCCGUUCCUCCGCACUUAGACGUCAUGUACACCACGCUGCUCAUUGAACUGUGCAAACUACAGCCUGGCUCUCUGCCACAGGUCGUAUCCUUUACAUCAGUGCGACUCAUCAACUGGUUCUCCCACCACCUCAGCAACUUCCAGUUCCGCUGGAGCUGGGACGACUGGGCCGACUGUCUGACGGUGGAUUCAGAAAUGCCUAAGCCCAAGUUUGUCCGAGAGGUUCUGCAGAAGUCCAUGAGACUGUCCUACCACCAGCGCAUUGUGGACAUCGUCCCUCCCACCUUCGCCGCCCUCAUCCCUUCAGAGCCACUCUUUAUUUACAAGUAUGCAGAUGAGAGCGCAGCCUCUUUACCUGGGUACCCCGUGUCUCUUACCGUGGUAAACGCCAUCAAAAACAAAGCCACCAACGAGGAGAUCCUCAACAUCCUCAAAGAAGUGCCCAACCCCAACCAGGAGGACGACGACGAUGAGGGCGAGAGCUUCAACCCUCUGAAGAUUGACGUGUUCCUGCAGACCCUGCUCCACAUGGCAGCCAAGUCCUUCAGCCACUCCUUCAGCGCUCUGGGCAAGUUCCAUGAGAUCCUGAAGGCGCUCACAGACAGCGACGAGGGAAAACUGCACAUUCUCAAAGUGGUAUACGACGCAUGGAAGAACCACCCACAGAUGAUUUCAGUCCUGGUGGAUAAAAUGGUCCGGACACAGAUCGUAGACUGUGCAGCCGUGCUGUACAUCUGGGAGAUCCUGCACUCCACCAUCCGUCCACUUCAGCUCACCUGGGGGUUUAAGAUCAGUGCGGUUACAUGGACGCCGCUGCUCCCCAGGACACUCCAGGUUCAUCAUGCUGCUGACGGACACCUGGUACGCUGUGAGACGGGCAGCGUGGACGUCAGCACGGCCUGGUACAAGAGCUGCACCGACCGGCUGCAGCAGAUCUUCCUCUUGCAUUACCAGACCAUCCAGCAGUACAUGGGCACCCUGGGAGAACCUCCUUUCACGCAGUUCUGUGCCCUGCAGCUCUGA